UUCUUCCAUCGAAGCGCCUCUAUUUUCAAACCUCUUUGGUCGAUCAUGGCAACUCGCCCUCUUAACCCUAACGCUCAACCGUUUUACCCUCCCAAUACACUUCAUAACCAACAUGUUUCUGCUGAAUCUACCAACCAAAAUAUAACGAGGAGUGGAAGGAAUAGGGCUAAGUAUGAAUGGAGGAUGAAGGGAACAAGACCAACA
rnacentral:lncRNA from 1 species